UAAAAAGGACAAAAGACCAAAAAAAAACAAAAAAAAAAGAAUCUGACAAUGUAAAAAUAGUAGAAAAGGAUCUAGAUCAAAGAGGUGAAGGCACAGUGGAGGAAAAGUCCAGUCUACUUAAGCAUGUGACACCGGUUGCCCAUCCCCAGAGGUAGCAGGUCCAGGAAGUCCAAGGUUGGCAGGUGUGGGCGCAUCGAGAAAGACAACGCACACAGGUAUUGGAUGGAACAGAGAUGGGGCGAGAUCAGCUUCAGUGAGUGAGCCCCACGGCCCGUGGGAGAUGGUCUGUAGCCACCCUUCUCCUGCAGCACGAGACCCCACCCCUCCUCGCCGGGAGCAAAUAAGCAGUGAGAUUGACCUGGUGCUUAAGCAGAAGAAAGAAGUACACACCAAGUCUGGACCAGGAUGGAUCAAUCCAUUGUAAUUCAGAGGAGUUUGAAGGGACCUUGCCACAAACCUCAACAGCAUGGAAACCGAAGUAGCAUAAACAAAUUCAGGAACUGAAGGAAUGUCCUGAGGAGGGAAGGUUGAGUCAUUUCACAAGAGGACGGGGCGGAGUUUCCACUGUGCCCUCCAGGUUCUGGACCAUCACCCAGGUCAGCCAUCUGAGCAGGACACAGGAUUUUAAUCCGAGUCGCCUUUAUGCAAAGUACUGGGGGAUCUUCAUGCUCAAACCUCUGCGGUGAGUGACAGCAGAGCAAAGACCUGUGCUCACCCUUUGGCCGAAGGAGGAGAGAAAUGGAAAAGCCACUGAGCCUGGGGGAGAAGGGAGAGACCAGCCUUGCCCCAAAGAGGUGUCCUUCCUCUCAUAGCGGCUGCCCUGUCAGGCUCAGUGCGGAGGUUUAGAUUUUUGUCUAAAGGGUUUGGGGCUGAGCAGGGGAAGGUGUGGCAGAGAGAAUGAAAAGAGAGAGGAGAGAAAGUUAUAAAUAGAUGCUCAUACUUCUUGGUGGCUCCUGGCACUGAGAAGCAGAGAAAGCUUAUUUAACUAACUGGGAGCAUACUUCCCGAUACAAAGAAAAUGAAGAGUCCAGCUGUCUAGUCUAUAUUAUCAUCUAAAUAAAUGCACACGGGCCCCUGUGGUCCACUGGGCCUCGGGAAGCAGGAAGCAAGUCAAGCUGAAAAUAGCCACUGGGCCUGGAGGCCCUCUGCACCCCCGGGGGCCACUUCGAAGGACUCCAGUGUGGCGCCUCCUGCUCAGAUGUCACAAAUACACUUAAA